UCAUGGCUCAGAUUGAACGCUGGCGGCGUGCCUAAUACAUGCAAGUCGAACGAUGAAGCUUCUAGCUUGCUAGAAGUGGAUUAGUGGCGCACGGGUGAGUAAGGUAUAGUUAAUCUGCCCUACACAAGAGGACAACAGUUGGAAACGACUGCUAAUACUCUAUACUCCUGCUUAACACAAGUUGAGCAGGGAAAGUUUUUCGGUGUAGGAUGAGACUAUAUAGUAUCAGCUAGUUGGUAAGGUAAUGGCUUACCAAGGCUAUGACGCUUAACUGGUCUGAGAGGAUGAUCAGUCACACUGGAACUGAGACACGGUCCAGACUCCUACGGGAGGCAGCAGUAGGGAAUAUUGCGCAAUGGGGGAAACCCUGACGCAGCAGCGCCGCGUGG
rnacentral:rRNA from 1 species